AUUGAACGCUGGCGGCAUGCUUUACACAUGCAAGUCGAACGGCAGCGCGGGGCAACCUGGCGGCGAGUGGCGAACGGGUGAGUAAUACAUCGGAACGUCCCCAGAAGUGGGGGAUAACGUAGCGCAAGUUACGCUAAUACCGCAUACGUUCUACGGAAGAAAGUGGGGGACCUUCGGGCCUCAUGCUUUUGGAGCGGACGAUUUCUGGUUAGCUAGUUGGUAGGGUAAAGGCCUAGCAAGGCGACGAUCAGUAGCAGGUCUGAGAGGACGACCAGCCACACUGGGACUGAGACACGGCCCAGACUCCUACGGGAGGCAGCAGUGGGGAAUUUUGGACAAUGGGCGCAAGCCUGAUCCAGCAAUGCCGCGUGAGUGAAGAAGGCCUUCGGGUUGUAAAGCUCUUUUGUCAGGGAAGAAACGGUCGGGGUUAAUACCUCUGGCUAAUGACGGUACCUGAAGAAUAAGCACCGGCUAACUACGCGCCAGCAGCCGCAGUAACAC
rnacentral:rRNA from 1 species